rnacentral:misc_RNA from 1 species
AACGCACCUUGCGCCCAUUGGCAUUCCACUGGGCACGCCUGUUUGAGUGUCACGUCAACCAUCGCCCGCAUGAUUGUCACGAUCGUCGCGGCGCGGAUUUGGACGCUGCCGUCGUUGGCUCGUCUCGAAAUGCAUUAGCUGUCCGAGGACCGCGCUCCGGUGUAAUAAUUGUUGGUUAUAUGCGCCGCGCUCGUGUCUGGUGAAGGCUCACAGUCGUCCGCGAGGACACAUAUCUAAAGCUCUGGCCUCAAAUCAGGCGGGACUACCCGCUGAACUUAA